GAAAUAUCAUUAAAACGUUUACACACUGGCAUCGAGCUGGACACCCCUUCAAUGGCGUGAAAAUGAAGUCGUCCACUUUUGCGUUCAUCAACUGCAUUGACCCCGUUGUGUGAUUACCGUGGAAAGUUAAAUAUUCGGUCAUCCAAAAGGUUUUGUGCCGGAGAUAGUAAACUUCAAAAGGGAUAUUUGUGAUGUGGAAGGGGAAAUGAACGAACACGGAUACAUUUUGUAGUUUUGGGGUCCAAUCCUGUAAACUGUCAGCCAAGCAAAAUAGAUGUGAUGGAGGAGACAAGUGAUAACAAACUAAUCAAAAGAAGAAAUGUCAUAUCUUGGAUAAAAAUGGUUACCUACAACAACUAGAUAUAUUGGUCACAGUUAAAUUAAAUAUUGUUGUCAAGAAGAUUUUCCCUAUUCAUCGUAGAGGAGCAGAAACAUGUUUGGAUGGAACAUGUGCUUAAACCUUGCUUAAGUUUUGUUGAAACUUUCAUUUGAUAUACUGAAGAUGGUUGUUGAAUAUUGUUUGUUAACAAUAUCUAUAUGGCUAUAUGGCUGUAAAGAGAGAUGUUGAAAGGUGCAAUUUUAGUGCAAAAAAAUGUGCAUGUUUAACAACAUGUUGAAUGAACAAACAUUAUAAUGCAGUAAAACACUAGGAAUCAUUAUGUUUUCAAAACUUUAUAACAACUUAGUAAAUGUGUCGGAAUGUCCAUAAAUCCAUCCACCAAAAGGAGGUAUCUACAUGUUAGUGAAACUUAAUACAUUAUAGAUGCAUAAAUCUCAUUGGGGAGAAAUGAAUGUUGAAUUUUAAUAUGCCCGAAACAAUUUCGGGCAUAUUAUGUUAUACCCCCUGGCAUCUGUUCCUCCGUACGAACCCAGAGGUACUUGUGUGACUGGGUAACAGUAUAUAAAUAACACAUGGGUUUGUUGGUAACAGUAAAAAUAUCAUCCCGAGGAAAAUACUGUUACCCGAGGAUGAUUGUCCAUAUUAUUAUUAGGUAGAAGACACCUAUUGAUUUUGAGGUCACAAGAUCAAAGGUCAAGAACUGAAAACAGUUUCCGGGAGCAUAACUUAAGUUCCAUUUGGCCCACAGUGUUCAAACUUCACAGGAUGAUUGUCUAUAUUGGGUAGAAAAUCCCUAUUGAUUUUGGGGUCACAAGGUCAAAGGUCAAGGUCAUUAUUACUUUAAAACUGAAAACAGUUUCCGGAACAUAACUUAAGUUUCAUUUGGCCCACAAUAUAAAAACUUCACAGGAUGAUUGUCCAUAUUGGGUUGAAGACCCCUAUUGAUUUUGGGGUCACAAGGUCAGAGGUCAAGAUCAUUAUUACUUCAAAACUGAAAACAGUUUCCGGAACAUGACUUAAGUUCCAUUUGGCCCACAGUAUUUAAACUUUAUAGGAUGAUUGGCCAUAUUGGGUAGAACACCACUAUUGAUUUUGGGAUCACAAGGUCAGAGGUCAAGGUCACUAUUACUUUAAAAGUGAAAACAGUUUCCGGAGAAUAACUUAAGUUCCAUUUGGCCCACAUUUUGCCUAGCGGUGCUCUUGUUAGUUUUCAGCUCAAUUUUUAU